rnacentral:lncRNA from 1 species
GCCCCAUUGUCAGGUAUUUGGGGCAGCGACUGGCAAGCAAUGAAGGGUGCAUUUUUACACCAAAUCUCUGAAUUGGAGAAGUAAAGGCAGGAGUCCAAUGAGGCACAGUGGGUGAAGCCAUGAGGUAAGGCCAGACAUAAAGCCAGGAGUGUAGAGGUGGUGGGUGAAGCACCUGUUCCAGGGGUAAGGGCAGUUUCGUCAGGGGCCACUAGGGGGAGGUGUUCCCCAGACUGGGUCCAAGGGGUAGCUGGUCCAUGGCAGGAGCCAUAGGAACCAGCCCAUGCAGUUAACUGAUGGGAGGAGCCUUAUACACUUGCCCCGGCAGUUCUCUGUGGCCCAGACUUUGAACUGGGGCAAGAGUAUCUUGAGAACAUGAGGCCUACUACUGAAAAAGAGAGGUUGGUUGAGUGGGAAGGCAUAAAGCCUGGUGCCCAGGGGAACUGGAUACGACAAAGGGUGUUAUAUACGGGAACAGGGAGCUAAGUGCAGGUAUGGAAGGGCAGGCCCCUGAGACAGGUUCUGCUGGGAGAGAACUCAGCUAGGCUGUUAAGCAGGUUAUUAAGGCCCAGACUUUCAACUGCAUUAGAAGACGCAGGUGUGAAAAGAAGGCCUGGUGGAAUUGACAGAUGUCUGGGCAAAGCACCAGGCUGGCUGGGAAAAGGAAGCUGGGUAAGGCCCGCCAUGGUCUCAGGAAAUCCACUGUUAAAGAAAGUGGCCAUAAAGGCAUGGGCAGUGGGAACUGUGGGCUUUAAAAUGCACUUAGCAUGGAUUUCAUAGGCCAAAACAAUGCCUUGGGUGAAUAAAUUAUACAGCAGAAUGAGGUCUACUUGGCUGAUCCAGGGGAAAAAGGGAAAACUAGCAGCAUGUGUGUAAGUAGCUGUUAAGUCACGGGGCUGAAGAGCCUGGGCCACUGGAAUCAGGUGCCACCAGUGCAGGAAGCAAGGGUGUGGAUGGGUUGGUUCAAGGGAUUCGGGCAGGCAGUUAUGCUUUCACAGGUCAGACCAAGAUUCCAUG